UACAGAGGGUGCGAGCGUUAAUCGGAAUUAUUGGGCGUAAAGAGCUCGUAGGUGGCUUGUUGCGUCUGCCGUGAAAGCCCGUGGCUUAACUGCGGGUCUGCGGUGGAUACGGGCAGGCUAGAGGCUGGUAGGGGCAAGCGGAAUUCCUGGUGUAGCGGUGAAGUGCGCAGAUAUCAGGAGGAACACCGGUGGCGAAGGCGGCUUGCUGGGCCAGUUCUGACGCUGAGGAGCGAAAGCGUGGGGAGCGAACAGG
rnacentral:rRNA from 1 species